UACGGAGGGUGCGAGCGUUGUCCGGAAUUACUGGGCGUAAAGCGUGCGCAGGCGGUUUUGUAAGCCAGAUGUGAAAUCCCCGGGCUUAACCUGGGAAUGGCAUUUGGGACUGCAAGGCUGGAGUUUGGCAGAGGAGACUGGAAUUCCUGGUGUAGCAGUGAAAUGCGUAGAUAUCAGGAGGAAUACCGAUGGCGAAGGCAGGUCUCCGGGCUAUAACUGACGCUCAUGCACGAAAGCGUGGGGAGCAAACAGG
rnacentral:rRNA from 1 species